rnacentral:rRNA from 1 species
UACGGAGGAUCCGAGCGUUAUCCGGAAUUAUUGGGUUUAAAGGGUUCGUAGGCGGCCUUGUAAGUCAGUGGUGAAAUUUCCUAGCUUAACUAGGACACGGCCAUUGAUACUGUGAGGCUUGAAUAGUAUGGAAGUAACUAGAAUAUGUAGUGUAGCGGUGAAAUGCUUAGAUAUUACAUGGAAUACCAAUUGCGAAGGCAGGUUACUACGUACUUAUUGACGCUGAUGAACGAAAGCGUGGGUAGCGAACAGG